rnacentral:misc_RNA from 1 species
UCCGAGUUGACCCCGGCAGUCUUCGAUGAGUCCCCACCAUGAUGUGCUGGCAACAUCGAACGAGGGUUGCGCUCGUUGCGGGACUUAACCCAACAUCUCACGACACGAGCUGACGACAACCAUGCACCACCUGUACCCGGCCCCGUAAGGGAACCUCCAUCUCUGGAGGGGUACCGGGUAUGUCAAGCCUUGGUAAGGUUCUUCGCGUUGCAUCGAAUUAAGCCGCAUGCUCCGCCGCUUGUGCGGGCCCCCGUCAAUUCCUUUGAGUUUCAACCUUGCGGCCGUACUCCCCAGGCGGGGAACUUACUCCGUUAGGUGCGGCACCGGCGGUAACCCGCCGACACUUAGUUCCCAUCGUUUACGGCUAGGACUAC